UACGUAGGGUGCAAGCGUUAAUCGGAAUACUGGCGUAAAGCGUGCGCAGGCGGUGAUGUAAGACAGAUGUGAAAUCCCCGGGCUCAACCUGGGAACUGCAUUUGUGACUGCAUCGCUGGAGUGCGGCAGAGGGGGAUGGAAUUCCGCGUGUAGCAGUGAAAUGCGUAGAUAUGCGGAGGAACACCGAUGGCGAAGGCAAUCCCCUGGGCCUGCACUGACGCUCAUGCACGAAAGCGUGGGGAGCAAACAGG
rnacentral:rRNA from 1 species